CAGAAAUAAAUAAAUAAACAAAACAAACAGACUGAAACAGACCAAACCAAACAGUAUUGUUCAAAUCAAAAUUUAGCCGUUUGGUUUAAAAAUUCAAAAUUUCUAAAAGUAUUUUUUGUGGUUCAUAUUCAGAUGUUCAAUGAUAUAAUAGCUUCAUUAAUUCCCCUUUAAAAUAAUUUACACUUUAUGAUUGUGUCAUUUCAUUUGUCUUCUGCAAAAUUGUGAAUGUUAGUAUUGGAUAAAAAAUUAAAAAUAUACACUUCCUGUAAACUAAACCGUACAAAACACAUUACAAUAAAUAGAAAGUCUAAAAGUAUCAUUGAAUCUAAACAAAGGUAACGGUAUCAUAAUGUUAAAUACCACGUGAAACGUGAAUUUUAGGUAUUCCCUCUUAAGAACUAAGAAGUGAAGCAGAUUACAUUUUACAGUGAGCCAAAGAGCAGUAUCAGAGAUCAAUUGUAUUUGUGACGAAGAAGCAAUAAUGCAGUGCUGUGUGCCUUUUUGCGAAAAUACAUCAGACAAUGUGUCAACAUCAGAGAACAUUACCUUUUAUGGAUUACCCAGGGAAGGAAAUCUCUGUACUGCUUUGCUCAGAGCCCUCAGCAUAGAAGACCAUCACCUGCCCGACACUGCUGUGGUCUGCUCCCAGCACUUCUUAGAUGAUGACUUCCUUAAUACAAACACUAGUGUGAAGGAGAUCCACUCUAAUGCUGUUCCGUCAACAGUGCAGAUGUGCAUGAUAUGCCUGGACACUGACAGCAAGCUGACUCUAAUGAGCAAACAUAAGUUGGAGGAGGCAUAUGAACAGCUAACUGGACUGUCUUUGUUUCAGUUGUGUUGUCAAGCAAACCUGAAGCAAACACUCUGUGUGCUGUGUGCUCAAAAAUUGAUGAACUUCAAUAGAUUUAGAGACUUGAGCUUGAGAGCCCAUUCACUGAUGACAGACUUAGUUGGACAACAUGAAUUAAAUACUAUAAAACACAAAGAAUUGCUGAACUGCACAACUGCACAUCUGAAGUGUAAUUUGACACAAACAACAUUAGGAGUUAACCAUUGUGACUUGUACAUAGAUCACACUGAUGAAGAAAAACAGACAGCAGCAGAGGAAACUGUAGUGGGAGGUGUUGCAACAGUUGCGGUGAAAAAUGAAGGCAGUUCUGACUCCAUAUCAAGUACUGAUAACUUGGAAAUGUCACAAAAAGAUGACAAUCACAGAGACAAUUCCAACAAUGACUGUGCCUUUGAUGAUGAAUACUCUGACAGGAACAUAGAGUUAGAGUCAAGGCUACUGGAUGAAGCUAUAAGUGAAGCUAAUUGUUGGAAAGCAGCAGAACAUGUGGCCUCAACACAGAGUUUGAUCAAGAGUGAAAGUGCUAUCUUGGAAUGUGCAUUUUGUUUUGCAGACUUUGUGCAAGAGCCUGCAUACAAGGAACACAUGAAACGCUGGCAGCGACACUCCAUGUGCAUCACAAGUGUGGGAGCUUCGUGCAGCUGUGAGCCGCAGCUGUGACUCAUUUAUGCUGCAGAACAAAACAGGAAGUCUGAGGCUGAAUGAUGUCCCUCUCCCGGCUGCAGACUGCGCUUAAGCUUUAGUCGCUCCACUGUUCGCGAGACUUGCUGCAAGUAACGAGAACAAAGUGCAGGCAACUGAAGAAGCACCUUCUAUUCAGAAAAGUGAACAAAUCCUUCUAACUAACAAUGGCGAACUGGACAAUCGAUCAUCAUCAGAUACAAAUAGAUUCACAAAUUGUGUAGUCCUGUUACACGAUAUAUUCAAGAAACCCAAGAAAGUUGUACUUGGUGAGAAUCAACACGUGAGACCUUACUCUUGUGAGAUAUGCAACUAUAAAUGUGUACGAAAAAGGGAUAUAAAUAAGCACAAGAAAACUCACACUGAUGAAAAGCCAUUUUCCUGUGAGAUUUGCAAUUAUAAAUCUGCAUAUAAAGGUAAUUUAUUACAGCAUAUUAAAACCCACACUGGUGAGAAGCCAUUUUCCUGUGAGAUAUGCAAAUAUAAAUGUACACAAAAACAUCAAUUAUUAGAACACAAGAUGAGGCACACUGGUGAAAAGCCAUUUUCCUGUGACAAAUGUAAUUAUAAAUGUGCACGAAAACAUCAAUUAUUACAACACAAGAUGAACCACACUGGUGAAAAGCCAUUUUCAUGUGAGAUAUGCAAAUAUAAAUUUGCACGAAAAGGUCAUUUAUUACGGCAUAUUAAAACACACACUGGUGAAAAGCCAUUUUCCUGUGAGAUAUGCAAUUAUAAAUGUGCACAAAAAGAUCAAUUAUUACAACACAAGAUGAACCACUCUGGUGAAAAGCCAUUUUCCUGUGAGAUUUGCAAACGUAAAUUUGCACGAAAAAGUCAUUUAUUACAGCAUAUUAAAACCCACUCUGGUGUAAAGCCAUUUUCCUGUGAGAUAUGUAAUUAUAAAUGUGCACUAAAAAAUCAAUUAUUACAACACAAGAUGAACCACACUGGGGAUAAACCAUUUACCUGUGACAUAUGCAAACGUAAAUUUGCACGAAAAACUCAUUUAUUACUGCAUAUUAAAACUCACACUGGUGAAAAACCACUUUCCUGUGAGAUUUAAGUGUGCAAUUAAUAGUAAUUUAUUACGGCAUAUUAAAACGCACACUCAUGAAAAGCCAUUUUCCUGUGAGAUGUGAAUUGCAAAUUUGCGUUAAAAAGUUAUUUAUUACAGCAUAUUAGAACAUACACUGGUGAGAAGCCAUUUUCCUGUGAGAUAUGCAAUUAUAAAUGUGCACAAAAAAGUAGUUUAUUAAGACACACAAUGACCCACACUGAUGAAAAGCCAUUUUCCUGCGAGAUAUGCAAUUAUAAAUGUAAACAAAAAAGCAAGUUUUUAAUACAUAUGCGAACCCACAGGCCACAAGAGCGAUAGGCUAGUUGACACUUUUUUUAAAUGGUCAUAAAUAGUUCAUUAUCGUUCUAGACUAGACUGAAGAAAUAUUUUUCAUAUUUUUUUAAAGACUUGAUUACAUGAAAAUUUUAGUUUUUAAAUAUGUUUUUGACAAUACGAGCCAAAACGCCUGUCGGCCAUGACGGUCUAUAUUUCAACUGUUUCAUGACGUCACUAUAAUAAAUCCCUUACAAACGGAGCGUAUACCAAAAAUAUUAGCUAACAAUUAGUUCGACGUUUAGGACAUCACGUGUUAGUGACGUCACAAAACGUUUGGAAAAUUUGAAAAAAUACGUGAUAUUUAAAUUAAGCUCUUUAAAAAAAUUUUAACUUUUAUUAAUAGAUAUCGAUAUAUUUUGGACCCUUAUUUCACCAAAUUAAUAUAGUUUAUAUUAAAUUUGAUAUCCUAAGGUUGCCUGGUGAGGAUCGCUACUAAGAGAUAAGAACAAUAUUAUCUAUUAAUAAAAAAUACACGUU